GGUUGUUCUGCAACCGGUACAGACAAUAGAAUCAGGAACAGGCUUUCGGUAUUUACUGAUGAGGGGUGAAAUCCGUAUAGUUCGUAAGGACCCACGGAGGCGAAAGCGGAAAGCUAGUACUGGUUCAUGUGAUGAGGAACGAGAGCCAGGGGAGCAAAGAUGAUUAGAUACCGUCGUAGUCCUGGCUGUAAACUAUACAAAUUAGAGAUUGUAUGAAACCAUCUAACAGAUUCUUACAGGAUCCCCCGAGAAAUCCUAAAUUUUUGUGUUCUUGGGGGAGUAUAUUCGCAAGAACGAAACUUAAAGGAAUUGACGGAAAUUCACCACCAGGAGUGGAUUCUGCGGCUUAAUUCGACUCAACGCGUGGAAACUUACCAGAACCAGACUAUGGAAAGAUUGACAAGCUAAUGACUUUUCUUGAUUCGUAGAAUAGUGGUGCAUGGUCGUUCUCAGUUCGUGGAUUGGUCUGUCUACUUAAUUGUGAUAACGAGCGAGACCUCCGUUAUUAAUUAGCAACUCCGUAUUCCUAUUAUUGGAAUUGGUAUUGGGUUAUAAAACCCAUCUUCUUAAUAAGACUCUAUUCGAUUAAUAAAACAGAAUAGGGAAGUUGGAGGCCAUAACAGAUCUGUUAUGCCCUUAUAUAUUCUGGGCGGCACGCGUAAUACAAUGUUUUUGCCAACGAGUUAAAGGCUACUCGCCGUACCAAGUUUGUUAAGACGAGGAAAGCUUUUGCAAUCCUUUAUUUCAAGGCUGGGAUUGAAGAUUGUAAGUUCUUCAUGAACCAGGAAUUCCUAGUAAUCGCAAAUCAACAUUUUGC
rnacentral:rRNA from 1 species